rnacentral:snoRNA from 1 species
UAACACCUUCAACAGUAGGAUCAUUUCUAUAGGAAUCGUCACUCUUUGACUCUUCAAAAGAGCCACUGAAUCCAACUUGGUUGAUGAGCCUCAGAACCUUUGUGCCCUAGAGUGAGACCAAAGAUGUUUCACUAGCUUGGUCCACAACCCUCAGCGGUUUGGCCAUCUACCCACAUUCUUUGUUUUGCCUGUUGCUUUUUCAGAUGCUUCUCCCACCUUGUGUGGGCAUUGCUCUGAGUUCAAACAGGCGCGAUGAUCUUGGCCCAGCUCGUGCACUUCUUCGUGAAGGGACGAUCGUGUUGGGUGGGCGCAAAUGGCAGUCUGACAAGU